rnacentral:rRNA from 1 species
CUACGGGAUGCUGCAGUGAGGAAUUUUGCGCAAUGGGGGAAACCCUGACGCAGCAACGCCGCGUGAGUGAAGAAGGCUUUCGGGUCGUAAAGCUCUGUCAGAUAGGAAAAAAGUUCAUAUGUAAAUAGCUUAUGAAUCUGAUGGUACUAUCAGAGGAAGCACCGGCUAACUCCGUGCCAGCAGCCGCGGUAAUACGGAGGGUGCAAGCGUUGUUCGGAAUUACUGGGCGUAAAGGGCGUGUAGGCGGUAUGGUAAGUCAGAUGUGAAAGCCCUGGGCUUAACUCAGGAAGGGCAUUUGAUACUGCCAUCCUUGAGUAUGGGAGAGGAGAGUAGAAUUCCCAGUGUAGAGGUGAAAUUCGUAGAUAUUGGGAGGAAUACCCGUGGCGAAGGCGACUCUCUGGACCAAUACUGACGCUGAGACGCGAAAGCGUGGGGAGCAAACAGGAUUAGAUACCCUUGUAGUC